rnacentral:misc_RNA from 1 species
AAAGAAGCCGAAAGGCUGCUUAAAACCAUCGCGAACCUAUCCAUCAGCGUUGCUUCGGCGGGAGGCCGGCCCCGGAGACGGGGACGGCCCACGGCCCAACACCUCCGGGUGCGGGGCGCCCGCCGGAGGUACGAAACUCUUAUAUCUCUGUGGAUCUCUGAGUAAACAAGCAAAUAAGUUA